UUUAUUUCAGGGAAAAAAAAAAGGCAAAUGAAUCUCCAUAACUUGAAGCUCUGGCCAUUCAUCAUAUUACAUAAAGUCAGCCCAGGUAAAAAUGCUCACAACCAGUUCCACCCUCAAAUGCUCAAAAGAUAUGAGAACGUUCUUACUCAUUUCUUGUUUUUUGGCUAUGUUUCUUGAUUUCUCCUUUUUUUUUCCCUGAGAUAAAGAGUUUAAAAUAUGGUUGAAGGAAUUUUUAAAUCAGAAAACAUUCAUCUGACUGACUCAUUUUUAACAUUUACACUAGAAAAAAGGAAGGACACCAUAUUAACAUUCAGUCCAAGCUUUGAAAUUUAAAGAAAAUAUGGCAGUAAAAAAAAAAAUAAAGAAUGGAAGGAAAGAUGGAAGUUAAUUUGGUUGCUUUUUCUCAGCAAUAAAUCUGCUUGUUGGUAGGUAAAAGUAAAACUUUCUCAAAUGCUUAGUUGAUUUAGUUAGGACUAUUUUCUUAUAUUGUUUUGG